AUGAAGAAGCAGAAGAAAUUUACUACCACUUUAGCACCAUCUCCCUCAACAUCUCUACAUUUUACAAUCAGUAAUCUUGGUUCUAAUGACUCUCCACCUCAACAGGAGUUUGUAGAAAGUCUGUGGAAGAGCAAAGGCAGUGGGAUUUCUAUUGGCCUGACUGACCGUGAGAAAGAAGGAGUUUGGAAAUGGGUGGACGGCUCAGCACUGACCACUGCGUACUGGGACAGUGGAAAUGGAUUUUCAGACAAUGACGACUGCGUUGUGAAUGGAUAUUCUGGAGGACAAAAAUGGUACGACAGACCCUGUAAUGAACCGUAUUACUGGAUGUGUGAGAUAACGUUUCUCCAGUGACUUCAUAGUCAGACAGCGUUCAGUAUAUAAAGCUUCUCUCCUGUGGAAAAAUAUGUAGCUGUGUUGAUAUUUGCCAUCAAAGUGGUUGAUUUGGUCGUACAGAGUUGUAGACUCUUCUUUUUAACCCGUGAAGUGUUGAGCGCAGUUAGGUGUGUAUAGUUUACUCUCAGCUUCUUGACGACAUUUGACAUUUUAUACCAAGUUUGUCUGUCCCAGCAUUGCACGGCUCAAAAGUUCACUAACUCAUUUGGAGUAGUAGUUGCUGCCUGUUGGAGAUUCAGUAGUUUAUAGUAGUUUAUACGACCCUGUUUCCAAAAAAGUUGGGAUGUUGUGCCAAAUGUAAAUGAACACAGAAUAUAAUGAUGUGCAAAUGAUGUAUACCCUGUAUUAAACUAAAAAAACACAAAGACAACAUGAAAUGUUGAAACUGAGAGUUUCUUUUGAAUUUGACACCAGCAACAAACCCAACAGGGUCAAACAGGGUCAUACUCUUAUAGUUAUAAUGGUGUGUAUUCGUUUGUUGAGGAUGAGGGAGGUCAUGUGUGUGUACUGUAUGAUUCCUUAUUGCUUCUCAAGAGUUUUUUCAUUCAAACUGAUAUUUUCAUAUAAAAUCUUGCAGUCAUUGUGAAAUAGUAAACCUGUCUUAUAGUGUCAUUCUUGUCUUCAUAUAUCCUCACUUGUCUUCAUUACUGCAUGCUGUUGCUGUAAAGUAAUUGUAUUUUUUCUGUAUGUACUUUCAACUGUAUUUCAUCAACUGUGUUUCAUGUGUUUAAAUACCCAGAUUUUAAGCAUUAAUAAAGAGUUAACAAGCCAUCUGAUAAUGACUUCUGAAGACUUCUUAACAUGACAUUAUUAUAAAGUAAUCAUGUUACAGCCAUAUCCAAAAGUU
ensembl:lncRNA